rnacentral:lncRNA from 1 species
AGAUGCUGCGCAGCAGUCUCCGAUUCCCCAUCACCAAUUCGGCUGGGAACUAUCCGGCCCCGCGUAAUCGUAGGGUCUGCGCGGGCCCGGCCCCCACCAGACGGGACUCCCCGCCCCCAAUUGGCGGCCGAAGAGUCUCCUCGCCCCAGAGUCAUCUUCGGGACGCCCAGGGCCCGGGUGAUUUUGGGCUCGCCGCGGCCCCGGGUGAUUGUUUCAUCUCCGUGGCCCGCGGUGGUCGUAGCGUCUCCGAGACCGCGGACUCCCGUAGGGUCCCCGUGGCCCCGAGUUGUAGUCGGGACACCCCGGCCGCGGGUGAUCGUCGGGUCUCCACGCGCCCGGGUCGCUGACGCGGAUCCGGCCUCGGCGCCUUCUCAGGGCGCCCUGCAAGGCCGCAGGCAGGAUGAACAUUCUGGCACCCGUGCGGAGGGAUCGCGUCCUGGCGGAGCUGCCCCAGUGCCUGAGGAAGGAGGCCGCUUUGCACGGGCACAAAGACUUCCACCCCCGCGUCACCUGCGCCUGCCAGGAGCACCGGACAGGCACCGUGGG